rnacentral:rRNA from 1 species
GUGGGGAAUAUUGGACAAUGGGCGAAAGCCUGAUCCAGCCAUGCCGCGUGUGUGAAGAAGGUCUUCGGAUUGUAAAGCACUUUAAGUUGGGAGGAAGGGCAGUAAGUUAAUACCUUGCUGUUUUGACGUUACCGACAGAAUAAGCACCGGCUAACUUCGUGCCAGCAGCCGCGGUAAUACGAAGGGUGCAAGCGUUAAUCGGAAUUACUGGGCGUAAAGCGCGCGUAGGUGGUUUUGUAAGUUGGAGGUGAAAUCUCCGGGCUCAACCUGGGAACUGCCUCCAAAACUGCAUGACUAGAGUACGGUAGAGGGUAGUGGAAUUUCCUGUGUAGCGGUGAAAUGCGUAGAUAUAGGAAGGAACACCAGUGGCGAAGGCGACUACCUGGACUGAUACUGACACUGAGGUGCGAAAGCGUGGGGAGCAAACAGGAUUAGAAACCCUUGUAGUCC